rnacentral:rRNA from 1 species
UACGUAGGCAGCAAGCGUUGUUCGGAAUUACUGGGCGUAAAGAGUGUGUAGGCGGUGUUCUAAGUUUGUCGUGAAAUCUCCCGGCUUAACUGGGAGGGUGCGGCGAAAACUGGAAUGCUAGAGGGUGGGAGAGGAAAGCGGAAUUCCUGGUGUAGCGGUGAAAUGCGUAGAUAUCAGGAGGAACACCGGUGGUGUAAACGGCUUUCUGGACCAUAACUGACGCUGAGGCACGAAAGCGUGGGUAGCAAACAGG